GGGGUCAACUCGGAGGAAGGUGGGGAUGACGUCAAAUCAUCAUGCCCCUUUAUGUCUUGGGCUUUCAACGGCAUGCUACAAUGGCCGGUACAGAGGGCUGCAAUACCGCAAGGUGGAGCGAAUCCCAAAAAGCCGGUCUCAGUUCGGAUUGAGGUCUGCAACUCGACCUCAUGAAGUCGGAGUCGCUAGUAAUCGCAGAUCAGCAACGCUGCGGUGAAUACGUUCCCGGGCCUUGUACACACCGCCCGUCAAGUCACGA
rnacentral:rRNA from 1 species